AUCACUUGAGGAUUUUAUUAAAAUACAGAUUCUGAUUCUAGAUUGCGGCCUGAGAUUCUGCAUUUCUAACAAGCUCUCAAGUGAUGACAA
rnacentral:pre_miRNA from 1 species